GACUUGCGGUUCCCUGAGGAGUAAGAACAUUUGACUCACGCCAAUCAUCUCCUUAGUCUCCGCGCACACACAAACCGUGGAGCGCUAAUGUGCUAAUGGAGAUCCAGGCCAUUAUCUGUCUUGACUGUGAGUUUGUGGCUAGUGUGCCUCAUCAUGCAGAUGAAAGAUGGGAAGGCACAGUCAGGGGACCCACUUUGUUUCACCUUGUUAUACCCAGGUUUGCAACUGGCAUUUGUCACACAAUGCAAAUCAGCACUGCAGCCCUGCUCUGACCGCCGGGGAGAGCAGAAGGCCACAACACAGCUCUCCUCCAGGGCGUACUGUACACAGUCAGGUAUUCCUGGAUUGCAGUGGGAGUUCAGAUGGAUCACAAGGUGAAUCCUCCUGAAAGGCAGUGUAGAGCUUCCUGCAUUUCAAAAGACAAGCACCUCUGAGAGGUGGGUGAGUCAAAGGAGUGUGUCUUUAUUAUGCCCUUACUCCACCCAUAUAGUGCAGGGACCAUGGCUGUAUACAGACACCUCAAACUCCGAUACAUUGCUCGAGUCUAAAAUACUUACAGUACAUAUUCCUCAAGAGAUUAAUAUAA